rnacentral:rRNA from 1 species
AUUGAACGCUGGCGGCAGGCCCAACACAUGCAAGUCGAGCGAGCGGCGGACGGGUGAGCAAUGUCUGGGAAACAGCCUGAUGGAGGGGGACAACUACUGGAAACGGUAGACAAUACCGCAUACCAUCAGAGGUGCCCAGAUGGGCUUAGCUAGGAGGUGGGGUAACGGCUCACCUAGGCGACGCUCCCGAGCUGGUCUGAGAGGAUGACCAGCCACACUGGAACUGAUACACGGUCCAGACUCCUACGGGAGGCAGCAGUGGGGAAUAUUGCACAAUGGGCGCAAGCCUGAUGCAGCCAUGCCGCGUGUGUGAAGAAGGCCUUCGGGUUGUAAAGCACUUUCAGCGGGAAGGCGUUACCCGCAGGAGAAGCACCGGCUAACUCCGUGCCAGCAGCCGCGGUAAUUC